rnacentral:tRNA from 1 species
GGCGUCAUAGAGCCGGAGGAGGGCUUCCUGGCCUGCGGUGCCACGGGCAAGGGCCGCCUGGCGGCCCUGGAGCGGAUCGUCGCCGCCUGCCGCCGC